CAUGACUGUCAUCCUGCCUAGGAAUGGGAAGGCAGUUUCAGGCAAUGAAAGCAGUGUGAGAAAAGAGAUGGGACAAGACUGCAUUGCCCCUUCGGAAGAUUGCAAGGAUGAUUGAAAGUGCUGUUGAACUGGGAAGAGCCAGAAACUGAACUGCUCAUUGUAUGCAGCUGGAAGCCAUGGUGAACAUUCUGCAAAGGCCUUCUACUGGGAGAUGACUCCGGUCACUGUUCCUUCCAUAGCAGCUGGUCCCUGUAAGACACUGAACCCUCAACACCCCUUACAAAUGUGGCUGAGGACCUGAAAGAAAUGCUGGUGCACCUGAUAUACUGUUCCAGGAGUCUUGUGAGAUUAACAGCUUGUAAAUGAUGGCAUACCUGGAAUAAGUUCCCUGUUGGCACUCCUGGGCAAUAUAUAAGAAGAAAAUGUGCAUCUUAGUACAGGCACACUUAAACCACAUGAAGGAGACCUGUAUUUUUGGAAUGACAGGUCCUCCUCCAUGUCUGGAGCAUGACCUAGUUGGUGACUAUCUAUUGUUUAUAGGCAAUGAUUCCUCAGAAACAAAUCAACUAAAUGAACAAACUGGAUGAUAAAGUAGAACGGAGAACUGCAUUGUGCUCCUCAGAGUCAUAAAAAUUCAUCCCUUUUACAACUGCUGAGUGCUUUGCCAAUAUCAUGCCAAGGUGAGAGCAGCUGGGGGAAGGGAAGGAUAUUGAAAAGGAAAAUAAAUAGGCCAGGUAAACAGUGCUGCUGCUGCUGCAGCAGCCGUGGUUGCCACGGCAACCGGGGUGAAGAGGAGGCGGAGGAGGAGGAGGAGGAGGAGGGGGGAGGUGGAUUGAUCGAUAGUCCUGUGCUGGCUCAUCUGGCUUCCAUCCACGUGCUGCUACAGAGGGAGAGAAAAUCAAAGAGCCACACGCAGGAUGGCCAGGUCUCCAAUUCAAUACAUGGCAGCAGCUUGAUCAAUAACUUGUUGGAAGAAGUCCUCCAGAGACCCAAAUCCAUCUUCCACAAAGUGAAGCAAUGCUGGGGAAGAGGAGGGGAAGGAUUGCAGACUGAUUUCCAGGGGACUGCACUGCUCAGCAGAGGGACUGUAUCCAGGCAACCUGCUUCCCUGCCUGAGAUAAGGACACACAGCUGGGACUUUGGAAAACUAAGAAGAAGCUACUUGUAAAGAGUGGGCUACAUGGGGGCAGCAGGGGAAAUGGUGCAGGGGGGAGCCAUGUUAUUUUGAGCAGGUUAUUUCUGCCCUGGCAUCCUCAUGACACUGGACCCGGCUGCAGUAGCCAGCUGAGCCACCCAGCUGCUCCUUUCCAGGUCCCCACCGAGAGAUGGGGAAAGGGAGCGGAUUUUUCAUUCUCAACCUGAGGGCUUGCCUGGGAAGGGGCGUGUCCUGCCUUUUGCAGGAGCCAUUCCCCAGCUUUUGAGCAAAGAGUAUUGUACACUAUAAUCCUGCCUCCUUGGACACAGUGAGAAAAAACCCUAUAUUGCUUGGAAAGCUCAAAUCCUGCACCAUGAUGGAUGGACAGACAAAACAAUACAGAAACAAACCAGACAAAACAACGCAGGCAGAAGAUACUGUGAGACAUCAGAGUGGCCCAUGCUGAGACAAGCACCUCAGGAUGAAAACCUCCUUUAUUGCAUUGCUUUCUACCUCACCUGGUGCAGGUGUCUUAGAUUCUGCACACCUGAUUUGACCAAGAUCCUAGGAUUUGGGCCCAACUUCAGACCUCAUCUGUUGCUUUACCAGCCAGGAGCAAGGGUGGGCUGCCAACAGCCCUGCAAAGCACAGGGAAAGCCUCUCCACAAUGACUGUCUCAUUCUCCUCCUAAAGGCAAAGGUCUGACUUUCUCCAGGACCCAGCACCUUCUUCUUGUCAGCUGUUCAUCGUUCACUGGCAAGUCCCAUCUAAUGGCAAGGUAAAAGGUGUGUCCUUCAGGUGGAGCUGCCUACAUGUCCUCUCCUCACGCCUCUGGAGGUCUGGCUUUUAGGGAUAUUUAGGGACUCCGCUGGGGCUGAGGAGGCCCAUCACCCUUUGGCUAGAGAUCCUCCAAGCUUCCAAAGGGAGGGAAGUAAAAUUGCUCUUCGUUCCUCUUUCAUGCUCAAACAGUGCUAUUGUCCUUCGCCUCAAUUAGUCCCCUUUGUUUACAACAACUCUAUUUUAUCUCUCUAUC
rnacentral:lncRNA from 1 species